AUACGUAGGGGGCGAGCGUUGUCCGGAAUGAUUGGGCGUAAAGGGCGCGUAGGCGGCGCGGUAAGUCUGGAGUGAAAGUCUUGCUUUCAAGGUGGGAAUUGCUUUGGAUACUGCCGCGCUUGAGUGCAGGAGAGGUUAUCGGAAUUCCCGGUGUAGCGGUGAAAUGCGUAGAGAUCGGGAGGAACACCAGUGGCGAAGGCGGGUAACUGGACUGCAACUGACGCUGAGGCGCGAAAGUGUGGGGAGCAAACAGGAUUAGAUACCCUGGUAGUCCACACUGUAAACGAUGAAUGCUAGGUGUAAGAGGUAUCGACCCCUUUUGUGCCGGAGUCAACACAAUAAGCAUUCCGCCUGGGGAGUACGGCCGCAAGGUUGAAACUCAAAUGAAUUGACGGGG
rnacentral:rRNA from 1 species